CAUUUCUAUUCGGUUAUAUCCUUAAUUUCCGGAAUUAUUGUUAUGCCUGCAUUUGGUUCCUGAGGAACAUCAAUAGUCACAGAAGACGUAUUUGGGUCUUCUGCAUAAUCUAUUUCGUCAAGGAUGUCGCAAAGGACGUCUUCCGCAAUUUGCUCAUUAUAUCUUUCUGAAACAGGCCUGACAUUUGAACCUAAGACAAGCGGACGGUGAGAAAAUUGAGGACCAAAUUGGAAGCGAGCUAUUCCACCUCCAUACAUACUAAUAGAAGGAUAAUAACCAAGAGAACCGUCAUCAAAUGAAUAAUGAUUUGAAUUGAUUGAAUUAGGGGGAUUAAAAUCAAGCAAAUUUUCAAAGGCUGUACCCAUAUAUGAGCCAUUUUUGUAAACUUUUAUAAAUGAUCCAGGAAUGUAAGGUAAGUCUAUAUAACGAUUGUGUUUAGAUGGAAUCAUUAGCUCAUCCAUCAUUUUGCUUGGUACAUAAUCUGGUUGCUCAAAAUAUAGUUGUCCUUUAUAUCUGAUAGGGAUUCUAUCAUGACACGAGGGAAGAGUAGUAUGUUGGGCAAAGGACGGUUUAGGAAGAGAUAUAUGUAAUCCAAUUAUGUCUCCUGUACCAAAAGAAUCCAUAAAGUUUCGUGGACGUGACAUAUGAACUUUUUGACCACCCAAGUCUCUAAGUCCAUACGAAUAAGCAUCAUAGCCAACAGGAGCAUCCAAAGGGGCUUCACGUCUAGAAACUCCAAUUCUGACAUGUGCUCCAUCAUCACCUCCUCCUUUCUCUAUUUUUAUCUCAAAAUACCAUUCACCGGAGGUCAUAAAAACAUUGGACCUUGCCAUCCGAAAUCCCUUUUCCACAGUUGCACACAGAGCAGAGUGAUCAAUAAAGACAGGUGUAGAAAUAUCAUGCCAAUUAAUCCGAGACGUAAACGGUGGAAGUUCAAUCUCUCUGUACAUGACAUUUGGUAAAUCUUUGGCUGCUUCACAAGGACUAUAGCGGAAUCCUCUUCGAUUAAAGGGAAUUUCAGAGAGAGAGAAAAAAUUAGGGGAUGAGGAAUUUGGAUAAAAUAUUGGUAAUUUAGGAACAGUUUCAAAAUCAGAAUCUCUCCAAGGAGGCGGUUUGUAGCGUAUGGGUACGGUGGGAACUUCAUUUUUUUUUAUAGACGCAUUCGACCAAGGAGUAUUAGAUCUCUUCAUCUCCCUUUUGGAAUCCUUGUAAUCUUCCUUAAGCUUACUAGAUGAAGGAGGAGGAGUUUCAGUUUCAACUAAACGUUUUUUUGGUACAGUUGCUCCCACUCGUUGAAAUGGAAAUAUAUAACCUGAACGAAAGUCAAAAAGGUUCGGGUUGUUUAAAGCAUAUUCAGAGUUUUGAUUUCUCAUCGUUUCAUCUUUAGCUCGGUAUGUGUCUCUGUUAGCCACAAGGCAACUACCCAAAGUAGCUUGCCAAGUUUGUACUUUUUCACGAUCGGGACACAAUAGCUGCCAGUGUUCUUCGAUGAAUGGAAUUAAAUCUUCUUUUUUCUUAAAAAAAUAUGUAUUUGCUUGAAAAUUUCUCAUUUUCUCGGCAUUAAAACUAUCGACAGGAACGUCUGGGUUGGUCUCAACAUACCGUUUAACAACAAGAUUGGCCAUUGCAGUAGCAGUGAUAGCCUUCCAUGCGGAUACACCUCGUUCAAAUCGUUCAAAUCCGUCUUCAGUGCAAUGCUUACAGACAAAUUGAUAAUUUGUACUAAAUCCCAUCAUCGACGUACAAGGAGGACUUAAACACGAGAGAUGAAACAUAUUUAAACAAACGCUACACUGAAGAUCAGGGAAUCUUAAAUUUCUAUCUUUUCCACAAUAGCAAUAGGUGUUCUGUUCGUUCAAGGUAUGAGGUUCAUUCCAAUUUAGAGAAGAUGCUUUACUAGGAGAGGAACCGGUUUUAUUCCCCUUUAAGGAAACUCCAUAAUCAUUGGAUCCAUGAGCCAGCAUCUUCGAAAAGUGUCUUGUCUCAAGACUGUGCUUAUAAAAAACGCGUCCAAAAGCUUCUUCACAAGCUUAGCAAUAUGAACAAAUUCUAAAAAAAAACUUUAAAUAACUGCAAAGCUUUAUGUAGUACAGUUUAAAAAAAAUAAAAAGGACAAAAUCACAUCUGCUAUAUACAGACAAAAUUCACGAGAAGGGGUAUGUAAAUUAAUUCUUGGGUUGAAAUUUGUUUAUCUAAUAAUCCUCGAAUAAUUAAGGUUCCACUUAAGAAGAAUUAAUUAACUCUAAAGGAUUUCACAAGUACAUAGGUUCAUUUGCGAAUAUUCAUCGAACACGACUCAGUCACUAGUAUUCACCUACAAACGUGUAGUUCAGAUUAGAUACAAACCUCCUCAGAUCACUUGCUUAUGUACAGAAAAAAAUACACUCACAGGGAGGUAGGAAUUUAAUUUACUCAAUAUGGGUUAAUAAUGGACUUAGUAAUUUCGCAUUAAUUAUGGCGUUGAAAUUUCUUUACGUUUCGGUAAGUUUUUUUACGAACUCAAUAAACGCGUUGCAAAAAGGUAAACAAUAAAGGCGAUUUGGAAGAACUGAGACUUUAUCAGACCAACUUUGAAUUAUUGUAAGAAUCCUAAAAGUUUUAUAAUGCAGAUAAUAUUUACUGAAAAUGAGGGAGCAUAGUGAAGCACAACACUCAACUAUUCGUCUGUAAAGUGUGAUCACUACAAUUAGUAGCCUUCUGAUACUAAUGUAGACCUUAAAAGUAAUUUCGGAAAGUUUAUACUUAUUAGCUUCUAACAGAUUUCGAUUUAAUACAAACUGAGCACAAAAGAUACAGCAUGAAGCCAUUACUCUC